rnacentral:lncRNA from 1 species
GUCAUUAGCAACUCAUAUAUAUGCAUCAGGAGGCGGUUGGAGCCCCUGCUUACCCCCGGGUCCGUCCCUGAAUAUAUACACAUAAAAUAUAAAUGUUAAUUAUCUAUAAAAGAAUCCAUGAGACCAGACAUUAGCAAGAUCCUUAGUUUAACACCCCGUUCUAAUGUUGAAGAAUUCUUCUUUUCGGUGAUGAUUUCCAUUGGCACAUGUUCACAAAAGUUUAUGCAAUAUAAUAAGAUUUGUCCCUAGGGUUUUCAAACAUUUCAUUUUGAGCAAUUAAUAAAGUAUGUCAUCUCAAAUUUGGGAAAAUUAAUUAAAUGCUCUUAAUCACAUUUAAAUUGAAUUGUAGUAAUUUUUUUUCACUUCCAAGAAUAUGUUCCCAUGAACUGGAUUUACCAUAUCCUAAGAUCUAGUUUACGUGAGGUUUUUGGGCCAAUAAAAAUAAGAAAGUCCAAAAAGAUAAUUUUUUGUUGGCUUAAAUGCAGUUUUACUCCAUCUGUUUUGAUUAAAUCAGAACUUUACCCCAUAUUUUAAAACGCAGACUUUUACCCUCUCUGUUUUAUAAUUUUUUGAAUUUUACCCCCCUAAAAUUCUGCUUUCGAGUCACAACUUAAAAGCUUCCCACACAACUCAAUUUGGAUCAAUAAUUCACCAAACGAGUUAUCUUUCCACAGAAUCAAACCCCACUAAAUUUGGAGUGACAAAAAGAGAUUAAUUACCGUUUUAGUGAAGGUAUGUCCCCCAAAAUUAUGAACAAAAUCUGCUUUCGAGUCACAACUUCAAAAGUCAUUGCCUUGGUUCUGUGGUCAUUGUGCCACGUGAUUGUGCUUAUCCCAUUUUGAUGGGCCUUCAUGUGUGUUAGGCUUUCGGAUGA